AAUCAACGCUGGCGGCGUGCCUCAGACAUGCAAGUCGAACGCGAAAGUUUCCUUCGGGGAACAAGUAGAGUGGCGCACGGGUGAGUAACACGUAGGUAAUCUACCUUUGGAUGGGGAAUAACAACCGGAAACGGUUGCUAAUACCGCAUAAUGCAGCGGCACCUAAUGGUGACAGUUGUUAAAGCGGGGGAUCGAAAGACCUCGCGUCUGAAGAGGAGCCUGCGGC
rnacentral:rRNA from 1 species